rnacentral:rRNA from 1 species
AUUGAACGCUGGCGGCCGGCCUAACACAUGCAAGUCGAACGAGUGGCGGAUGGGUGAGUAAUGUCUGGGAAACUGCCUGAUGGAGGGGGAUAACUACUGGAAACGGUAGCUAAUACCGCAUACCAUCCGAUGUGCCCAGAUGGGAUUAGCUUGUUGGUGGGGUAACGGCGCACCAAGGCGAAGAUCCCUCGCUGGUCUGAGAGGAAGACCAGACACGCUGGAACUGGAACACGGUCGAGACGACUACGAGAGGGACAAGUGGGGAAUAUUGAGGAAGGGGCGCAAGCCUGAUGCAGCCACGCCGGGUGAAUGAAGGAGGCAUUGAAGUUGUAAAGUACUGUCGGCGGUGAGGCGUUACCCGAAGAAGAAGCACCGGCUAACUCCGUGCCAGCAGCCGCGGUAAUAC